CAAUAGCGUAUAUUAAUGUUGUUGCAGUUAAAAAGCUCGUAGUUGGAUCUCUGGCUUUGUUCGGACGGCCCGCCUUCGGGUUGAGUGCUGGAAGAACUAGCCUAUUUUCCGGUUGGCGUCCUUUCUCUUUCUUUGAGCGAGGUUCGCGAUCCGGAUCGGUUACUUUGAAGAAAUUUGAGUGUUCAAAGCAGGCUUACGCCGUGAAAAUUGUAGCAUGGAAUAACAAGAUAGGGCUGUCGUGUUCCAUUUUGUUGGUUCUGGGACCGUAGUAAUGAUUGAUAGGGACAGUUGGGGGUGCUGCUAUUCCGCGGCCAGAGGUGAAAUUCUCAGAUUCCCGGAAGAGCAACUUAUGCGAAAGCAUUCACCAAGGAUGUCUUCUUUAA
rnacentral:rRNA from 1 species